AGGACGAACGCUGGCGGCGCGCUUAACACAUGCAAGUCGAGCGAGAACCUGGCCUUCGGGCCUGGGGAAAGCGGCGAACGGGUGAGUAACACGUGGGUAACCCACCCUUGGUACCGGGAUAGCCCGAGGAAACUCGGAUUAAUACCGGAUGGCCCAACAGCUCUUCGGGGCGGUUGGAAAAGGUAGCUUCGGCCUCCGACCAAGGACGGGCCCGCGGCGGAUUAGCUUGUUGGUGAGGUAACGGCUCACCAAGGCGACGAUCCGUAGCUGGUCUGAGAGGACGAUCAGCCACACUGGGACUGAGACACGGCCCAGACUCCUACGGGAGGCAGCAGUGGGGAAUCUUGCGCAAUGGGCGAAAGCCUGACGCAGCGACGCCGCGUGGGGGAAGAAGGCUUUCGGGUUGUAAACCCCUUUCAGGAAGGACGAAGCCACUCGGGUGAAUAGCCCAGAGGGUGACGGUACUUCCAGAAGAAGCCCCGGCUAACUACGUGCCAGCAGGCCGC
rnacentral:rRNA from 1 species